GUUCCCGGAGCGGAUCACGGUGCUGGACCAGCACCUGAGGCCACCAGCCCGCCGACCCGGAACCACAACGCCAGCCCGUGUUGAUCUACAGCAGCAAAUUAUGACCAUUAUAGAUGAACUGGGCAAGGCUUCUGCCAAGGCCCAGAAUCUUUCCGCUCCCAUCACUAGUGCAUCAAGGAUGCAGAGUAACCGCCAUGUUGUUUAUAUUCUCAAAGACAGUUCAGCCCGACCGGCUGGAAAAGGAGCCAUUAUUGGUUUCAUCAAAGUUGGAUACAAGAAGCUCUUUGUACUGGAUGAUCGUGAGGCUCAUAAUGAGGUAGAACCACUUUGCAUCCUGGACUUUUACAUCCAUGAGUCUGUGCAACGCCAUGGCCAUGGGCGAGAACUCUUCCAGUAUAUGUUGCAGAAGGAGCGAGUGGAACCGCACCAACUGGCGAUUGACCGACCCUCACAGAAGCUGCUGAAAUUCCUGAAUAAGCACUACAAUCUGGAGACCACAGUCCCACAGGUGAACAACUUUGUGAUCUUUGAAGGCUUCUUUGCCCAUCAACAUCGGCCCCCUGCUCCCUCUCUGAGGGCAACUCGACACUCUCGUGCUGCUGCAGUCGAUCCCACGCCCGCUGGUAAAGCCUGUAUUGAAGGGGUGGAACUGUAGUGCAGUGAUGGCUACUUACUCUAGAUGCCACGGGGUACAGUGCCAUCUGUGGGCAAUUUUGGA
rnacentral:sRNA from 1 species